AAAUUGAAGAGUUUGAUCAUGGCUCAGAUUGAACGCUGGCGGCAGGCCUAACACAUGCAAGUCGAACGGUAACAGGAAGCAGCUUGCUGCUUUGCUGACGAGUGGCGGACGGGUGAGUAAUGUCUGGGAAACUGCCUGAUGGAGGGGGAUAACUACUGGAAACGGUGGCUAAUACCGCAUAACGUCGCAAGACCAAAGAGGGGGACCUUCGGGCCUCUUGCCAUCAGAUGUGCCCAGAUGGGAUUAGCUAGUUGGUGAGGUAACGGCUCACCAAGGCGACGAUCCCUAGCUGGUCUGAGAGGAUGGCCAGCCACACUGGAACUGAGACACGGUCCAGACUCCUACGGGAGGCAGCAGUGGGGAAUAUUGCACAAUGGGCGCAAGCCUGAUGCAGCCAUGCCGCGUGUAUGAAGAAGGCCUUCGGGUUGUAAAGUACUUUCAGCGGGGAGGAAGGUGUUGUGGUUAAUAACC
rnacentral:rRNA from 3 species